GCGUUAGGUGUCUCUUUAAACCCUCUCUCCCCUCUUUAUUUCCAAAUCUUUAUCUUUGGCUUUCUAAAGCUGUAAAGGCACACUGGCACCUUAGGUGGUCAGGUAAGAUCGCUGGAUUCCUUAUUUCGGCGGAAGUCCAGCGCACCAUUCCCGCCACUGUACCCAUUUUAGAAACACUUGGAAGACCCUUAAGGAUCAUUUACGGAGAGAAAAGUCCUGCGUGUUCCGAAGUUCAGGGGCCCCCUGAUCCCGCUGAGCCCCCUCCAGGAGCGGAAGGGUUAAGAAUGAUGAAGAAGAGGAAGCGAAGCGCGCCCCCCGGCCCAUGCCGCAGCCACGGGCCCAGACCCGCCACGGCGCCCGCGCCGCCGCCCUCGCCGGAGCCCACGAGACCUGCAUGGACGGGCAUGGGCUUGAGAGCAGCACCUUCCAGCGCCGCCGCUGCCGCCGCCGAGGUUGAGCAGCGCCGCCGCCCCGGGCUCUGCCCCCCGCCGCUGGAGCUGCUGCUGCUGCUGCUCAGCCUCGGGCUGCUCCACGCAGGUGACUGCCAACAGCCAGCCCAAUGUCGAAUCCAGAAAUGUACCACGGACUUCGUGUCCCUGACUUCUCACCUGAACUCUGCCGUUGACGGCUUUGACUCUGAGUUUUGCAAGGCCUUGCGUGCCUAUGCUGGCUGCACCCAGCGAACUUCAAAAGCUUGCCGUGGCAACCUGGUAUACCAUUCUGCCGUGUUGGGUAUCAGUGACCUCAUGAGCCAGAGGAAUUGUUCCAAGGAUGGACCCACAUCCUCUACCAACCCCGAAGUGACCCAUGAUCCUUGCAACUAUCACAGCCAUGCUGGAGCCAGGGAACACAGGAGAGGGGACCAGAACCCUCCCAG
rnacentral:sRNA from 1 species